UCACUCAUUAUUAUAACUAAUACCUGCAUCACUAUAUAAACAGGAGUUCAUAAUGUUGUUUUAUUGCAUGGAAUUCUCUUCCUUUUGUAAAAAUUGACACUUCCCAUCUCUGUGUAAGUUUAGCUAGUUUAUGUGAUGAUCAUUGCCAUAUUUAACAUGAAGGACAUGAUCACGGUUCUCUCAAGAGAAGGAGCUGCUGUCAAGAGUUUGGCUCUCCACCAUUGUGUCUGCUCAACCGUUUGGAUGUGCUCCCCUGCAGAAUUGUUAACACACGGAGAAGUAUUAUUCCACAAGACAAGUAUGUUCUAUAUAUAUAGAUAUGCCAUAUUUAACAUGAAUCUGAAAGGGCAUGAUCACAGGUUCUCUCAAGAGAAGGUAUGAAUGGCUACUUUAUUAGCUGACAUGAUUACGUGACAGGGCCUAAACAACCUUUAUAUGGAGCCUAAUUAUUAAAUCAGAUAGAUCUAGUAUUAAUUACAAUACCGUAGUUGAUGUAAUUCAUGUAAUUACAGCAUCAGUCCAAAACGAAAUUGUUGGCCAUAAUUAUACCACCAUAUAAAUUUAUUUGUUUUAUGUGCAUAGUCUCGCAAAAAUAAUAAUUUUUUCUGGCACUAAUAAUUAUUACAUCAACUACGGUAUCACCUAUCUUGCACCUAUUUUCGAGUGAAAGGGUGGAUAAGAAAGUAAUGUUAACGUAGAUUUUCUUUCCGCAUACAAGAACUCAAUAACAGCAUGAAUGAAGUUCAAUGGCUUCUUUAUGACGGCUAUACAAAGAAUAAUUACUUCUUAUGAAAGAAAAUCAAAAUCCUAGAAUAGCUGUAAAUUUGUUGCUUGGUUUGCUCCAUAAGGGUAAUUGUUUUUCUAUUAGGCCCUGUCACGUAUUUCCAGUAUGCAUUAUACUUGAUCGAUACCAUAACCUGAUACCUGUAUGCUUACAGUGCAAUUCUUAGAAUUGUGUGUGAACAUCCAUGUGAUAAAUAUUUUUACCAAGGUGUUAAACUAAUAACCAUUCCCAAGUAGCCAUGCUGAACUGUUUAUAGCCAUCUCCUAUAUGCUGUCUAUAAUCUUGUGACACAACAUUCCACUGGUAUCGCCAUGCUACAAGGCCAGUAUAUAAAGAGACAGAUUGCCUGCAGUCCUCGUGACAUGGAAAGAAAACUUGCAGAUGAUCGCUAUCAACAUGCAGCUACUGAUUAUUGCAGCAGCAUUGCUGGGUGUCCUUGUGAAAUGGAGCUGCUGCCAAGAGUUUGGCUCUCCACCAUUGUGUCUGCUCAACCGUUUGGAUGUGCUCCCCUGCAGAAUUGUUAACACACGGAGAAGUAAUAUUCCACAAGACAAUGAGUAUGCAGUGUACAGUACAAGGAUUCGUGGUGGUCCCCUGAGGUGUGAGGUUCGCUUCCGUGGUAGCAGCCUACAAUCCCUCCCUACAGUUGGUGGAGAUCCUAGAAUUUACUAUCUUUUCUCUCCAGGAUUUGGAAGACACAACUAUGGUAACCAGCAGCUAAUACGAUACAGAGUGCAAUGUCCCAGCGACCAUUUUUCUUUCUUCAACCUCAUGUCUUUGGAUCUGGAACCACCGUCAUGCAGCGACGAUACUGGCAGAACAAGGUGUGUGGACUACCUUCAAGUGAGCAUAGGAGGAGGUGACUUUGGGUUCCUUGAAGUGUGUGGUGAUAUCACCACCAACUCCCUCCGGUCACAAAUUGACAGCGGUACCGUUGAGGUGGUAUUGAGGACCAGUGAUAUGGGACGCUUCCCUGGAUUCUCAGCUACUGUUGUGUGUGUCAGCACCGCCCUCUUGAGUAGGCUUGAUGAUGGGACUUCAUCGGCAACAAGAAUUGAUGGUACUGGGGCACCUGGGAAACUUGAGCAGUUUAAUGCCCGAGUGAGAAGACGUGUAGACUAUGUGCAUCGUUUGAGACGAAGUACAGAAGAGGAGGCUAAGAGUCAGGCUUGCAGUGUAGAUGAAGCCAACAUUCCAUUUGAUGCUGGGAUCACAUAUAUUAACAGAGUCGUCAGCAUCGUCGACAUGGACUCCAUGAAUGUGAUCAGGAGGCUGCCAGCUCCAAUUAACAGACUGACAGUAUUGGAUAGCAGUGGCUCCGAACAAGAGUUUUACCGAGAGGCCCCCCUAACCAAUGGUUCCAUCACUGUCUUUCUUGGCCCAGGCCCUCUGACUCGAGCUGGAGUGUUUGUCUUCUACACCAGUUUCACGACCAUCCCUGAACUUGGCAACAUCUCGCCACAGCUGGUUGUUCCCAGUGGUCGGGAAGCUGAGGUCACCGCUAGUCUCCUGGCAGGCCAUCUCGGUCAGGUGUUGGAAGGUGAUGAUCUGCUCUCUCAAGAAGAGCUAGAACCUCCCGCCAUAGACCCGGGAACUUUAGGGCUAGGAAGGCUACAAAGAGCAAGGCGUGUGGCUCUUGAUGAGCCAAUAACGUGUAAUUACACUGACAGUGAGCUUGGCCUUACGAUUCUUAAUCGGCAAACUCUCAACCCAGUGUUAACCACAGUGAUUGAUGUGAUAACCAACUGUACUGACAGAGUACAACCAGGGAGAAUUAAACAAGUUACUGCAAGUUUACCACUUGACUUUCGGUUCAGUCAGGAGGUGGUUUCCGUAACAGAACAGACUGGAGCAGUAAUCGCAUGUGUGGAGAUAGCUACUGAUGGCACCCUGCCCAGGAACGUGGUAGUAAGAGUUGUCUCACAGGAUGGAAAUGCCACUGAGCCGGAUGACUACAGCGCUGUCAACACCACGGUUACGUUCUUCAAUGGAACCGUUCGUGGCGGUCCUGGAUCUCAGAUGUGCAUAGACGUUGAGAUAUCUAAGGAAGGUUUGGUAGAGCUGGAUGAGGUGUUCCAGUUGACAGGACAUUCUCUUGAUCCUAAUGUCACCAUCAUCAAUAACACCACCGUUAUUAUCGUCAAUAGUGAUGAGCCAGUAUUCAGGUUCACGCAAGAUAUGUUUACAGCUUGUGGAGAGGUUACCAUGGUUAUUGAGCUGGUAUCUGGGACUCUUGGUUUUCCUGUUGACAUCAUCAUUGCGGUAGACACUGUGUUCAACACAACACUGACCUUUCCUUCUGACUCUAGCCCCAACACUCAACUGAAUUUUAGUACUAUUCUCAGUGGAAACAGUCAAAUACUCAUCGCAGUGGCUACAGCGGCACCUCUGGGCUUGUUUCAGAACUCUGCCACUGUAACCCUACUCUCUGGUGACGGUGAGUCUGAGCUCUACUGCACUUCAUUUCUACGAGGCUCCUCAUCUGAUGAUGGAUUUUUAGGAGUUGAGUUACAGAAUGGUCCCUUUAGGUUCCUGGAACAAGCUUACACAUCUGUCUUUAUCAACAGCAAUGGAGAUGUGUCCCUUAACAGAUCCUUUGCAUCGCUUAAUAUAGUUCCAUUCCCGCUUUCAUCGUCCAACCCCCGGUAUUAGCCCCUUUCUGGGCUGAUAUCAAUCCAUCUGCAGGAGGGUUAGUACUCUACAGAGAGACCCAAGACGACCUGCUCCUCUCACGAGCUGCCAAUGAGGUUAGGACUGCCUUCCCUGACCAGCCUGCCUUCACUCCUGUGUUGCUGUUCAUUGCAACUUGGCUUCAAGUCCCUCCAUUUGGUGCCACUGGGGAAAAUACCUUUCAAAUUGUCAUGGCAACAGAUGGUCAAAUUUCAUUUGUUACCUUCCUGUACAAUGACAUACAAUGGACAAGGGCUGGUCGUGCACUGGCUGGAAUCAACGGUGGUGAUGGGGUUCGCUCUGUGACCCUACCUGGAUCUAGAUCAGAGGCUAUCAGGAACCUCACAACCACUAGCAACGUGGGGGUGCCCGGCGUGUGGAUGUACCGGGUGGACUCUUCAGACAUCGUUACUCCUUCCUAGCAACAGUUCAACAUUGCUGUACUAGAGUUAUAUAUUAACAUGUAAAACAUUAUAGUUCAAUCUAUUUUCCUCUGGUGUUUUGUUUUACUCAUAGCCAUAAUUAUUUUAUAUAGGGCUAUCAUGAUCACAAUGGUAAUCACCAAAAUAAUAAUUCUAUUAAUUAUG